rnacentral:rRNA from 1 species
UGCAGCAACGCCGCGUGCGGGAUGACGGCCUUCGGGUUGUAAACCGCUUUUAGUAGGGAAGAAGGGCUUCGGCUUGACGGUACCUGCAGAAAAAGGACCGGCUAACUACGUGCCAGCAGCCGCGGUAAUACGUAGGGUCCGAGCGUUGUCCGGAAUUAUUGGGCGUAAAGAGCUCGUAGGCGGUUUGUCGCGUCUGCUGUGAAAUCUGGAGGCUCAACCUCCAGCCUGCAGUGGGUACGGGCAGACUAGAGUGCGGUAGGGGAGAAUGGAAUUCCUGGUGUAGCGGUGGAAUGCGCAGAUAUCAGGAGGAACACCGAUGGCGAAGGCAGUUCUCUGGGCCGUAACUGACGCUGAGGAGCGAAAGCGUGGGGAGCGAACAGGAUUAGAUACCCUGGUAGUCCACGCCGUAAACGUUGGGCGCUAGAUGUGGGGACCUUUCCACGGUUUCCGUGUCGUAGCUAACGCAUUAAGCGCCCCGCCUGGGGAGUACGGCCGCAAGGCUAAAACUCAAAGGAAUUGACGGGGGCCCGCACAAGCGGCGGAGCAUGCGGAUUAAUUCGAUGCAACGCGAAGAACCUUACCAAGGCUUGACAUAACCGAGAACGCCGCAGAAAUGUGGAACUCUUU